GAUGAACGCUGGCGGCGUGCCUAAUACAUGCAAGUCGAGCGAACAGACGAGGAGCUUGCUCCUUCGACGUUAGCGGCGGACGGGUGAGUAACACGUAGGUAACCUACCUAUAAGACUGGGAUAACUUCGGGAAACCGGAGCUAAUACCGGAUAAUAUUUCGAACCGCAUGGUUCGAUAGUGAAAGAUGGCUUUGCUAUCACUUAUAGAUGGACCUGCGCCGUAUUAGCUAGUUGGUAAGGUAACGGCUUACCAAGGCAACGAUACGUAGCCGACCUGAGAGGGUGAUCGGCCACACUGGAACUGAGACACGGUCCAGACUCCUACGGGAGGCAGCAGUAGGGAAUCUUCCGCAAUGGGCGAAAGCCUGACGGAGCAACGCCGCGUGAGUGAUGAAGGUCUUCGGAUCGUAAAACUAUGUUAUUAGGGAAGAACAAACGUGUAAGUAACUGUGCACGUCUUGACGGUACCUAAUCAGAAAGCCACGGCUAACUACGUG
rnacentral:rRNA from 1 species